UACGUAGGGGGCGAGCGUUGUCCGGAGGUACGGGGCGUAAAGGGCAUGCAGGCGGUCAGGCGCGUUUUGUGUGACAGCGGAUGGCUUAACUAUCCGAGGAUACGAGAUACGGCGUGACUUGAGAGCGCGAGAGGGACACGGAAUUCCGGGUGGAGUGGUGAAAUGCGUAGAGAUCCGGAGGAACACCGAAGGCGAAGGCAGUGUCCUGGCGCGUAUCUGACGCUGAGGUGCGAAAGCCAGGGGAGCGAACGGG
rnacentral:rRNA from 1 species